rnacentral:misc_RNA from 1 species
GAUGAAGAACGCAGCGAAAUGCGAUACUUGGUGUGAAUUGCAGAAUCCCGUGAACCAUCGAGUCUUUGAACGCAAGUUGCGCCUCAAGCCAUUAGGUUGAGGGCACGUCUGCCUGGGCGUCACAUAUCGUUGCCUGAUGCCAGUUUCCUCGUGAUUGGUGACUGUGCAGGGCGAAUGAUGGCUUCCCGUGAGCAUUGUUGCCUCAUGGUUGGUUGAAAAUUGAGUCCUUGGUAGGGAGCGCCGUGAUAGAUGGUGGUUGAGUGACGAACGAGACCCAAUCAUGUGAGACCCCUACCGAAUUUGGCCUUCAUGACCCACAUGCGUCUUUGGAACGCUCAUGACGAGACCUCAGGUCAGGCGGGGCUACCCGCUGAGUUUAAGCAUAGCAAUAAGCGGAGGA